rnacentral:rRNA from 1 species
GACGAACGCUGGCGGCGCGCCUAACACAUGCAAGUCGAGCGGAGAUAUACGAAGAGUAAUCCGAGUAUAUCUUAGCGGCGGACGGGUGAGUAACGCGUGAGUGACCUGCCUCUUACAGGGGAAUAACGUGCCGAAAGGCACACUAAUACCGCAUAAGACCACGAAACCGCAUGGUUAUGAGGUCAAAGGAGCAAUCCGGUAAGAGAUGGGCUCGCGUCCGAUUAGAUAGUUGGUGAGGUAACGGCCCACCAAGUCGACGAUCGGUAGCCGACCUGAGAGGGUGAUCGGCCACAUUGGAACUGAGAGACGGUCCAAACUCCUACGGGAGGCAGCAGUGGGGAAUAUUGGGCAAUGGGGGAAACCUUGACCCAGCGACGCCGCGUGAGGGAAGAAGGUUUUCGGAUUGUAAACCUCUGUUCUUGGUGAAGAGGGGAAGACGGUAGCCAAGGAGGAAGCCCCGGCUAACUACGUG